AUGGGUGGGAAGCUGCUGCAGCUGAUGUCGAGGCUCCACCUGGCCAAGGGCGGCGGCGGCGGCGGGAAGGGCGGCGGCGCGGUGCCGAGGGGCCACUUCGCGGUGUACGUCGGCGAGGCGAGGGCGCGGUUCGUGAUCCCGACGGCGUACCUCAGGCACCCGUCGUUCGUUGCGCUGCUGGAGAGCGCCGAGGAGGAGUUUGGCUUCGACCACCACGGCGGCGGGAUUAUCAUACCGUGCUCUGAGAGCGACUUCGUUGAGCUCGUCGGCAGCCUGAGCUCCUCGUCGCCGUCAUCGUCGUGGCGGCACUGA
rnacentral:rRNA from 1 species